CGUAUGGCCAGUGGUCCCAUUAACGUCCUUCACUGGGAAAGGAGCCGAUCACUCAUUGCAUCGAAUCAUCACAUCUCUGAGUCUCCUUCAAUCUGAAAUUCUGAACCUUGGAUGGGAAUACCCCAGGAACUAUGCCUCCUCUCAGGUGACACAUGGUUUCUGUGUGUCCCAUUCCUGAUGGCGUUCACUGUAAUCUCGGUUAAGAUGAUGUCGGCCAGUCUUCUCCAUGAUCAAGUUCCUCUUUCUCUUGUGGAAUCUAAGGAAUGGGCAUCACUUCUGAGGUCAUAUGACUCCUGGAAUCCCAGGACAGCUAAGGAAGAGUGAGCACAUGUGAUUGGACAGUUGACCAGUAGAAUUAGGACAUCAGCAAACAUGCCGUCGGCUUCCUGACUACAGAAUGAUGAAAAUACACCUACCAGAGCACCCCCAAGAUGGAGGAGCCUACAGGAUCUCCAAGGAAAUGUGAACCAUCCCUCAAGUCUUUUCACGCAAUCCAAUUGCCCUCCAAAAAUAAAAGCAACACAUGGACUCCCUCAUACAUGAAGAACUCAGGAGCUACCGCAUCAGGGAGCUACUCCUGGAAAACCCAGCUAACCAAACAAUACAUCCUAAAAAGAUCAAGAUGGAAACGCUCUGGAAUAUUAACUCGUGGCAAACAGUGCACAUGUUCAGAGGCAGAGUUGGAACCAAGCAUUUCUGGGAAUUAUCGUUACCAAAUAAAUCAUGGAAACCAUAAAACCUUAAAAUGCACAAAUAAAGCUACUGAAACCUAGUGGGAAGUGAGAGGCAGGGUGGAGGGAGUGGAGAUGCAAUCAUUCCAUCAUCUUUUAUAGUGAAUUAAUAGAAACUGUGAAAAAUUGAAACCUGCAACUAAAACCAAGCAGAGAUUCUAUUAACUGUUUAUCAUCAUUUUCUCCUUAACUUUCUAGGAGGCUUUUAGGAACCAAUUCUUUUUCUCACGGUGAAGAGGCAAAGAAGACCCUGUUUGAAAUUUAUCAGUUAAAUUUAGUGCAUGUUUGAUAAAUUUAUAAUAAGAUCCAAUUUUAUAAAAGUAUUUCUCUCCAUCUGUCUAUUACUAUUCUUGUCUAUCCAUCGUGACAUUUCUAGACUAAUGUUCAACAAAUCUCAUUUUUUUCUUUCAUAAAUGUUUCAUAUUGUUUGCAUUAUCUAUAUAAAGACAUAUAUCUUUUUGGUUUCAAAACACUAAAGUCAUUUUUCCCCAAACUUAGUAAAAAGUAAAAAUCUCCUUCCCUCUCCCAACAACUAACUCCCAUCCUCCCCAGCAAAGAUUUAAUCACUGUCAUCAUUUUCUCAUCUUUCUUCCCAGAAGAAUUUUAAUCUACAGCUGUUCUGUUUACACGAUAGUAUCAUACUAUACAUGUUGGUCUGUAACUUGCUUGUCCCCCAAGGACUAACUUGUCAAUGUUCCAAUUGUUUUCUCUCUGCCUUAACAUGUCAGCUUUCUUAUAUGGAAAGUUCUACAGUCCCGUAGGUAUUUCAGUCUAUUUCUGGCUUAUGGAUUCAGCUCAAUGACUGUCUAUCCAUGCUUCAAUGCAGGGUAUUCUAAUUUUUCUGGAAUAACUAAACAUUUUCAUAUCUGGGAAAGAUGGCCAUCAUCACUCUUCUUUUUCCACAAGCCCCUUAAUCAUUCUCAUACACUAUUUUUCCCAUGUGUGAUUUAACAUCAUGCUGUGAAAUUCCAAAGCAUCCUGGUAGUAGUUUAUUUCAUGUUUCAUGGACUAUAGAACCUAGUUUAGGGUAAUUUCUUUCGUUACAUGCUGGAGUCUCCCAUCCCAAGGAUAAGCUAUGUUAUUUCUUUUACUCUUAGAAAAAGUCCCUCCAUAGAGUUUCUCUCUCAGCAGAGUAAUCUACUUUCCUCCUAAGGGUCCUGCAAUUGUCUUAGAAAUUUCAUCCCUAGAUAUUCAAUUGCUAUUGCUAUUGUAAAUGAGAGUGGUCUCUGUUGUAUUUUCUCAACGUGUGUUUUUCAAGUAAGGAGAAGCUACUGAUUUCUGCAUAUUAAUUUAAAAACCACACAGCUCACUGAAUUCUCCUACCCUUUCUAGUUAUUUCUUCAGUUGAUUAUUCUGUGUUUUUAGCUAUGCAAUUAUAUCAUUGUCAAGCGAUCUGUUAUCUAAUCGCAUUGGCUGGUAUUUCCAAAACAACGUUAAAUAAUAAUAGUGGCCAAAGGCAUUUCACUCUCCCGACUUCAAUUUGAAUGGCUUUAUGUGUCACCGUUAAGCAUGACAAGGAUUUUUUGCUUUGAGAUUUUAAAGCACAUAUGAAAGAACUACAGUGCAUUCUUGUAUAAAAGGAUUAUAAGUUUAGUAUGUAUGCAUGCAAAUUAAUUCCAUUAUAUUCAAUUUUAUGGGAUGAGUUCUUUGCUAUUUAUUGAA